AUACGUAGGGGGCAAGCGUUGUCCGGAUUUACUGGGCGUAAAGGGAGCGUAGGCGGAUUUUUAAGUUGGAUGUGAAAUACCCGGGCUUAACUUGGGGGGUGCAUCUAAUACUGGAGGGCUAGAGUGCAGGAGAGGGAAGCGGAAUUCCUAGUGUAGCGGUGAAAUGCGUAGAUAUUAGGAGGAACACCAGUGGCGAAGGCGGCUUACUGGGCACUAACUGACGCUGAGGCACGAAAGCAUGGGGAGC
rnacentral:rRNA from 1 species